UCCUACGUCACUCUGGGAUAAACUGCGAUCACUCAUUCGAACUACGCUGUUAGCGGUGUUUCAGGGCUGAUAGGCACCUACAGCUUCAGGAAACUAUCGCAAAAAUAUAUAUAUCAAAUACAACGUACAUAAUCGUGUUAUUUGAUCGGUUUGGGUAAUGGCAAUAAUUUAACAGAGUUUUGAACGCAACGCGUUUCCGAAUGCGACUACCAACUUCCAAGCGAUGUAAUCGCCACUGAAAACUUUCAUUUCAAGAAGGCCUUGUAUUUAUUAUUAUUUUUUUUUUUUACAACAGGUCCACGGCAUAUGCGGAUAGGAGACUGAUUAGGCUACACAGCCUACGAAAUACAUGUAGUUAUAUUUGGUUUAUUUUACAGCCAAAGUUACUUAAGUUACUUACUUUCAAUAACAAGAAGAGACAACUCAUCGACUGGUUUAUCGGACAGGCUACGGGACAGGAUCAGGAUUAAAAAGCAAUCGGAACGCCUCCAGUUUUCCUCGAAACUACGAGCCAAGGAAUUCCAAAUCUGGUUAAAUGCGGUACGAGGCUAAAAUGAUGCCGAUGUUCCUGACAGUCUACCUCAGUAACAAUGACCAGCAUUUUACAGAGGUGCCCGUUAUCCCAGAGACACUGUGCCGGGACGUGGUGGAGCUAUGUAAGGAGCCCGGAGAGACUGAAUGCCACCUGGCUGAGAUGUGGCGUGGAUCUGAGCGACCUAUAGGAGUCGGGGAGCGGAUGCUGGACGUGCUCCAGCAUUGGGGGCAGCACAGGGCAGAGGUGCGCUUCUACCUGCGCCAUGACCGAGCGCCCAGCAGAGAAUCUGGUGGCUCACGAGGAUCAGACUCCAAGAGGAAUGGAGUGAAGAGCACCUGGGAUAGACGGAUGGAGAACGGGGUGUCGGCCCCACGGAUGGACAUGACUCUGGCUGAGCUGCAGGAGAUGGCUGCCAGACAGCAGCAGCAGAUAGACGCACAGCAACAUCUCCUCGCCUCCAAGGAGCAGCGCCUGCGCUACCUGAAGCAGCAGGAGGAGAGGCAGCAGCAGCAGCAGCAGCAGCAGGCAUCGGACCAGGAGAAGCUGCGGCGUCUCAGAGAGAACGUGGAGAACCAGGAAACCAGGCUCAAGAAGGUCCGGGCCCUCAAGGGCCACGUGGAGCAGAAACGCCUCAGCAACGGCAAGCUGGUGGAGGAGAUAGAGCAGAUGAAUGGUCUGUUCCAACAGAAGCAGAGAGAGCUAGUGGUGGCUGUGUCCAAGGUGGAGGAGCUCAACAGACAGCUGGAGAUGCUUAAGAACGGCAAGAUGGACGGCUUCAAAGACAACCAGAGCUCUGUGGCUGAACUGGACCACCUCUACAAGGAGCUGCAGCUGCGUAACAAGCUUAACCAGGAGCAGAAUGCCAAGCUGCAGCAUCAGAGAGACAGUCUGAACAAGCGCAACCUGGAGGUGGCCUCUAUGGACAAACGCGUCAGUGAGCUCCGAGACCGCCUCUGGAAGAAGAAGGCCGCUCUGCAGCAGAAAGAGAACCUGCCGCCACAGAUGCCCUGGCCCUCAGAGCCGGCCCCUAUCAAAAAAAAUGGCUUCCCUGGUAAGGAGAGGGCUUCUAAAGACACUCAUCCGCAGCUGCCCUCUGAUGGUCCGGUGGGUCAGCAGCAGCAGGGUCCGUCUCGUGUGGCGGCUGUCGGCCCGUACAUCCAGUCGUCCACCAUGCCUCGCGGCCCAGUGAGACACGAGCUGCUGGUCAAACCUGCUGCCUACCCCGAUGGCACCGCCACCCUGCCCGCACACCCAGAACCCCAGGACAAAGCUAACACAGGUAAGCUGGCAGAGUCCAACAGUAGUAGUCAUGGGCCAUCCUCCAUAGUGCCCAGAAUGACCUCUCACUCCAGCGCAAACACAGAGCAAGGUGAGACGGAGGGGAUGAAGAGGGACCGGCGGGUGCGUCCGUUCUCCAUGUUUGAGCCCACUGAGGUGCCCGCCUCCUCCCUCCGCAAGAACCAGAGCAGUGACGACCUGGUCAGAGACGCCCAGUCUGCUCCUAAAGCUGCAGUCAAGGUGCCCCCACCUGUCGCCAGCAAACCCAAAGCCCCCAGUUGCGCCCCCUAUGGCAAGCCAGGCCUCAACACCGGUACCUUCCCCAAGGCCAAGCCCCCCAGCCAGCAACAGCACUCCCAGGAGGCGGCCCAGGCCCGCGUCCCACUGCCCCCCUCCCAGAGCCAGACCCUGCCCCUGCCCUCCAAGCAGGACCCCCCUCUGGCAGCCACCGUAAGACCCUUCACACCAGAGCUGCCUAAGGACCUGAGCAAGCCCCAGACCCUGGCAGCCAGUUCCAUCUACUCCAUGUACACCCAGCAGCCCACCCCAGGCAAGCCCUACCCACCAGCCAUACAGGGGUCUGUCAACAGGAGCCAGAGCAGAGGCAACGGAUUUGUCAGUGUGUACGGUAAGCCUGUGAUCUCCGGUGGUGGCCCCCAGCAACCAGAGAACCCAUACAGCGAGCAGCGGCACUCCCCAGACCAGCCCUCUGAGGUGGACCACGGGGCCCACCAGGGCCCCCCCACCGAGGGCCAGCAGGGGGAGACAGAGCGCACCCCCCGUCCCCUCAGCCCCACCAAGCUGCUGCCCUUCAUCUCCAACCCCUACCGCCAUCAGAGUGACGGGGACCUGGAGGCCCUCAGGAAGAAGCUGUACAAUGCCCCGCGGCCCCUGAAGAAACGCAGCUCCAUCACAGAGCCCGAGGGCCCCGCAGGGCCCAACAUCCAGAAGCUGCUUUAUCAGAAGACCACGCUGGCUGCCAUGGAGACCAUCCUCACCACGCCCACCACACCCGAGGUUGUAAAGGAGGAGGGACGGGCGUUGCCUGGUGUUCCAGGUGCCCAGAUUGUUGGGGAGAGCAGCCAACCGGGAAGUGUGAAACUGGAGGUGCGUGAAGUCCCUCCUCCCACCCCUAACCACCACCUCCCACCCCCAGCAGAGCAGACUCCCCCACCAGCCAUCCCAGAGGGAGACAGAGAGGAGUUCACCCCCCCCUCCCCAUCCACCCCACCCUGCCCCUCGACCUGACCAGCCCCGCUUCCCCCCCACCGCCCCCUGCUGCUACAGGCAUGGAGGAGCCCAGCCCACCCAGCCUGCACCCUCCUCCAGAGAGUUUCAUGGAAGAAUUCCCCCCCUACCCUCCACCACCCUACCCUAGCGGGGCUGAGCAGGAGAUCCUGGGGGAGGACACCUUCAGCAUGCAGGCACCGGAGGUCACCGGACAGGUCACAUUACCACCGGGGAAGAGGACCAACCUGCGUAAGACCGGCUCCGAGAGGAUCGACCACGGCAUGAGGGUGAAGUUUAACCCCCUGGCCCUGCUCCUGGACUCCUCUCUGGAGGGAGAGUUUGACCUGGUCCAGAGGAUCAUCUACGAGGUGGAGGACCCUAGUCUGCCAAAUGAUGAGGGGAUCACAGCCCUCCACAACGCAGUCUGUGCCGGACACACAGAGAUCGUCAAGUUCCUGGUCCAGUUUGGUGUCAACGUCAACGCAGCCGACAGCGAUGGCUGGACUCCCCUGCACUGCGCGGCCUCCUGUAAUAACGUGCAGGUGUGUAAGUUCCUGGUUGAGUCCGGAGCAGCGGUGUUUGCUAUGACCUACAGCGACAUGCAGACGGCAGCGGAUAAGUGUGAGGAGAUGGAGGAGGGAUACACCCAGUGCUCCCAGUUCCUCUACGGUGUGCAGGAGAAGAUGGGCAUCAUGAACAGGGGCGUGGUGUACGGCCUGUGGGACUACAGCAAUGACAAUUCUGAUGAGCUGGCGUUCCACGAGGGAGACUGCAUGACCAUCGUCCGCCGAGAGGACGAGGACGAGACCGAGUGGUGGUGGGCGGGCACGGGCGACACGGAGGGGUACAUCCCUCGGAACCUUCUGGGGCUUUACCCAAGAAUUAAGCCCAGACAGAGAAGCCUGGCUUAGACGCCCUGUCAAUCCUGAACUGUAAAUAUAGCAGGAGGCAUGGACACUGGUUGCAUCUCAUUGUUCCAAUACCUCUCCUCAUCUUCUCUCCUUCAUCUGCUCUGACCUGUGAAGUAAUAUGAGGGAAGGUUGAGAUGGAGCAACAAUUGAGAUGCAGAUCCACACAGGCUUUAUUUAAUAGGAGCGCACAAGGAGAGGCCAACAAUCACGUGAAGAAACGUUGAGACCAAACCGCAUGAAGGAUUUUAAACUGACCCAAGAACACUACAGACGUGCCUAUGACCACUGACUAUGGCCCAUCUGAGGUACUUUUAUAUACCAGGAGAAGAGGUUUUCCACACUUAUUUUCCCAGACCACUGUGUGUGUAUAACACACUAAAGGCAUUAUGUUUCUCUACAUGUUUGUCGUAUUGGUUUCCGAACAAGUAUCUGCAGUUAUAGAUAUUGGUCAGAAUAUCUGGGGAUAAAUGUAAAAUGGAACAAGCAGUAUUUUUAUGUAGAAAGGUGAUUUUUACACUUAGUUUUUAAAACUGUUAUUCUUUCAUUUUAACCUCGUCAGAAAGAGCUGGAGCUGAACAACGUGUUAGUUGAGUGAAUGAAUGAGUGUAAUACAUGAUGAAUGUGAUGAAUUCUGUAUGAACAGGUAUUCUGUUACCAUGACAAUUCCUGUGUGGGCUCAGUCUGCUUAUGUCAUUUCCUGUUUUUAGUGACUGUGUCCCACUCAGUAUAACUACAAUAGAAGCCCAUGUUUCAGCAUUGACCCUACUGUACUGGCAAGGGUUAGUGUGUGAGUGUGUACCACUUACCACUGUUCAACUUAUCAAACUGGGAAUGAAAUGAUGAAACGUAUGUUAGGUUGGUGAAAUGUAGCCUAUACCACUGUUGAAUGAGCUAUUGCUUUUGACUCUUGUUCUUCGAUGAUGCUAAGAUAGAAAAUAUACUGUACCACAGGCUAAGUGAGCAGAUAUAAGCAGCACUCGUUAUAUUUCUCUACACUGGCUUAAUGGUGGAGAUAUGACAAACGGAUAAGUACUACAGUUGUGUUAUUGUCACAGUAGACAUUCCUCGGAAACUAUGACAUCACUAGUGAAAUCCACGUGUCAUCUGUUUCUAAAAUGGCGCCCCUGCAUUUAAAUGGACCAUUUAGCCAUGUAGGAAGGAUGAGAGGGUAAACUUCAAGGAACCUUAUUCACACGCUAUGUAGCUUGGCUUGAAGAGUAAGAGAUGGUAGAGAUUAAUGCUUAUAAUGUCAGGUCUUUCCUUAAAAUCUCUAAAGGAAGUUUAAUGAAAACUCAAUCAGCUCAUUCAUAGUAAGGAAUUCUGCAUCAACUCGUCUCCAUCCAUACCACUGUCUAUUCAACAGAUGGAUUUAUUUUUGUUACAUUUUAUUAUCGUUCUUUUUUGUCUUGUCAAACUAUAACCUCACAUGUAGAAUUGUAAACAUUUACAAUAAAAUACAGACGUUCCGGAUCCGGUGGCAUGCAUUGAAA